rnacentral:lncRNA from 1 species
AAUAUAUCGAUUUGAUAUAUUUACUUUCUAUCCAACUAUCCAAAUUUACCAUCCCCAUGCCCCCCUUUUUACCGUCUAAACAACAAACCUUCCGGUCUACUUGAUUCACUUUACCAUCCCAAAUAAAAUCCCAUAUUAUCUUAUUUAAGUCUUUUUUUAUGUUUUUCAGGUAUACCUCUUAUUUCUAAUUCAUAACCACACACUGAAAUAAUUAAAUUUUUAACAAUAAGGACUUUUCCAGA